rnacentral:tmRNA from 1 species
GGGGGUGCACCGGUUUCGACUGGCGGAUGUUACGGUAUAGGCUGCAGGUAGAGCUCUAACUCUUAAAACUGGAAAAACUAGUAAUUGCCAACGAUAAAACCGAAGCAAAUUACGCUUUAGCAGCUUAAUUAAGCUGUGCGGGACGCCGACAUGCUGCUCCGAAGGUCGGCUGCUCCUGUAACAAACCAGAGCUUACUUGUUAUUGAGUCUGAUCAAUAAUGAGGACAACUAUUCAGAAUAUAGAUAUAGGUGGUAGGUUUUUUCACCGUCCUGUAUCCGAACACUUAAGAAGAAACUAAACCUGUAGACGCUUGUAUUGGGCCCGUUAGGACGGGGGUUCGAUUCCCCCCACCUCCAA